CACAAACACAUUGACGUCAGAUGUACAGUUUGAUUGUAGACCUUAAAGCGGCACUGUCACAAUCUUUGUCUCUGUAUUUUUCCUCCGUCUGACACAUUUUAACACAGGGUGGAGAGCAUUUAACGUGCCCCUCUCCCAGCCCCUGGACCUCCAGUGAUGCAGUUACCGUCAGGGGUCUUUGCCAAUUCUGCAAAAUUCCCAGGCGGUUACAGUGUCACUUUAAAGGCACUCUCCAAGCACCGUAAUCACUACAGCCUGCUCUAGUGCAUGUGGUGCCAGGAGUGUCAAUAUAAAAUGUCAAACCAUUCUGAUAAUCGUUUAACAACUUACCUGGGUCCCACCCAGCACCCACACUACCUCUCGUAUUCAACAGGAGAAGUUUGACGUCUCUGCAGAGCAGGAGUAGACAACAUUCCGUGCUCUAUAUCUUGUGAACUACAUCUCCCUUGAUGCUUUGCCAGUGUUACGGCUGUAAGAGCCUCAUGUGCGGUGUUAUCUACAACAUCUGGAGUGCUGAAGGUUGCAUACCCCCUCUAGAGCACAGGAACCUCCUUGGUGGAGUGCACUUGGCUUACACCAUCAGCCAAAGAAUGCGGUAUUGCAUGGUCCUGCCUUUUUCUAUAGAGCAAUCUAGCUUAUUGUGCUGCAGACUACCAGAUGCAUUGAAUAUUGUGUGGGUCCCAGUGGGACUCAAGUUGUAAAACAAUGCUAACAUUAGAAGUAGGAUUCACAUCUACCAUUUUACAAAGCAGAAGUAAUUGUGGCUAGAACUAUUUGUAAUUUGACUAGGAAGGCUGCGG